rnacentral:lncRNA from 10 species
CUGACUUGAAACAUGCUUUGAUGAAUUAGUGCAACUCGGCCAGCCAUUUACUUUAAAUUUUACCCUUGAUUCUUCCUCUAGCAAACAAUUAAGGAGCAGCAGUGGCUUCCUGCAGGGGAGACCAAUGCCUUCUGUCCUCAGCGGAAACAGCUUGGCAUUCUUCCAAUUGAUGAAUGGCAUGGACCAGGAGCACUAGUUAUCUUCAGCUUCUGAGCAUCCGAAUAAAUAAACAUACAAAUGCAUAACAUAAAAUAAAUUCAAAUUACAAAUGAGAAAACCAAUCUAGGUUACCGGCAAGUCCUAUGACUUGAUGUGGAGGCCUGGAAGUGCAUCCUUGAAUCUUGCAAUGCAGUGAGCCAAGGAGCAAUGAGAGGCCACAUGAAUAACCGGGCCAGUGACAAGACACAUGUCCUCCUCCUUGCUGGUAUACACCAGAAUGCCCCGCAUGCAGCGAAUGCUCAAAAAGUGUUGGUGGAAGUGACAGAAUUCCAUCACCAUUAAACACAACCAGUGUUGCGGUUGACAAUGCUUUGUGCUGAUGAACAUGGUCACCUUGAAAGGUGUGUUGAAUAUGGCAGAGCCAGAAAAUGCAAGGAGCUUCUUCUCUGGAUCACCACUUGAAGAAGAGCCACUUGCUCCUCAGGAACCCUAUUUUGGACUGACGUUUAAUACAACAUGGAAGCCACCAAGGCUUACAGAAUGUGCUUUCCAGAGCUGUGACCUGAACUGUACCUGGGGCCUUUUGAGUGAGGCUGGAACUGGAGUGGCCUGGAUGCAGAGAGCAGUGUCCUAAGGCUGUGCAGGUUGCAAGAAAGCUCAAGUAGCCUAUGGAGAGGAUGCAAGGCUUCCAGCUGAUGCCCUCAGCCAGGCUCAGUAGCAGCCAGAACUAGCCUACCAACGAACCUGCUGAUCAUGUGCAUAAGCCACCUUGAACGUCGAUCCUCCUGCCUGGUGGAGCCAUCCCAGCUGAUGCCACAUGAAGCAGACACAAGCUGUCCCUACUAAGCUCUGCUCAAGUUGGAUAUUCAUGAGUGAAAUAAAUGACUGUUACUAAGUAAUUAAUUUUUGGGUGGCUGUUAUGUAGCAGUAGAUAAUUGGAACAAAGCUUAUUGACAUAAUACAUCUAUAUCACAUCCUCCAAUCCAUUUUUUUAAGUAAUAAAGUUGAUGUUUGUUUUGAUUUUCAGUUACAGCUUUACAUAUUUUGUCUUAAUUAGUCAAUUUUUUCCAAACUCAAAAUGGGUUUUUGUAAGAGUAGUAGUAGGGUCCUAGAAUAAUGGCAAUUCUCUUUCACUGGAGAAAGUUUUGUAGAGAAGACAAAAGAAUUUUUACAAGUACUCCACUGGUGAAAACUCAUAAACCUUGAAGGUAUUUUUAAAUUCAUCAUGCAUUUAUCAAUUUAUAAAUGAAUUCAUCAUUCAUUGGUCCAUUCAUCCAUCCCUCCAUCCAUUUCUAGAUCCUCUCAUAAGAGGAAAUCUAGGAAUAAGCCUGAUCAGUGAAAGUUUCAUGGGAAAGAGGAAGGAGGAAGAAAUUAUUUUAUUUUUAGAGUUUUGGGAGUUAGUGGUUAUGGACUUGCACUGGAGAAGAUGGGUGAGAAAGUUCAAGGUUUCUAAAAUGGGAAAGUAGGCCUGGAGAAAAUGUUGCAACCAAGAUUAUAAGGCCAAUUACCAGGUCUGAUUACCAGAAAAUAAUUUUUAAGGCAGGAAUAUUAGGCCAUAUCAGUACCUGAAAGAGUGAUCGAGGCUAAUUUGUUCAUUCAUGUAACAACAAUUUAUUAUGUGCUACUAAGUACCAUCACUAUAUUAUAAACUGAGGGUUCAGUAGUGGAUAAGAGAAACUAAUUCCCUGGCCUAAUGAAGAUUUCAUUCAACGGGGAAAACAAGAAACAUAUAUGUAAAUUAGCAAAAGUUAAUAAUAUCAUUCAAAGAGUGCUAAGAGCUCUGAAAAUAGUAAAGCAGGGUGACUGAUAAAACAGGACUAAGCAGGUAACAGUAAGAGGUGAUCAGGGAAAAAACCUCUGAAGAAAACAUAUUUGAUCUGGAAUCCAAAUGGCAAGUAGAAUGAAGAAGGUAAAUAAUUCAUACAAGAGCAUAUCUCUUCCAUAGCAAGUGCAAAGACCCUGGGCAAAUGCCAUAGUUGAGCUAGCACCCACCACUGGCUUCAAGUGAUGGGUGAGUGAUACAGACUCAAGGAAAGGGCCAAAAGGGCAGACAAAACCAGUUCAAUUUGUCACUUAUUCAUCCACCCAUUGAUCCAUCUACUGAUCCAUUUAUCCAUCCAUCCAUCCAUCCAUCCAUCCAUCCAUCCAUCCAUCUAUUCAACAUACAUGUUGGGUGCCCUUUACAUACCAGGACCUGUACUGGGCAUGGGAACUGCAGAGAUGAAAAGAUGAACAAUCUCUGUACUUGAGGGACUCAUCUCACUCUGUGAGAUGAACUGGCAUGUGACUGAAAACUCACUAUAUUGGUAACGAGACUAAAACACAGAGCUUAAUGAUUUAACCUGAUACCACCCAAGUGGUUAGCGGUUAGUGGCAGGGCUUCAGAAUUUUAUUUUCCUUCCCUACAGGGAAAACCAUUAUGUGUGACCUACUUUUUCAAACUCUCUUCCUCAGUGGGGCAACAAUUAGAGUUUAUCUAUUGCUAGUGCUUACCAUUUUAGGCUCCUUUAAUUAGAGUGUUUUAAAUUAGUGUUAUUUUAAUUUUGCUUAUCUCCUGAGACAUUAUAGAGGAUAAAUAGCAAAUGAAAUAAUGUACAUGAAAACACAUUGUAACCCAUAAACCAUCAUACAGAUGUGUGUUAUAUACAGUUUUAUAUUUGAGGAUAUAGCUUUAUGCAUUAGUACUGCUUCCUCCUCAGGGAUGUCUCCAAAAGAAUUCAGAGUAAAACAGACUUGUGGAUUGAUGCUUUAAAGACAUUUUGUAUUUUCUUUAAAAAUAAAAUUGACUCACAGUAGGUGCUUAAUAAAUAUUUGUUCAAAGAAUGCAUAAGAUGCAAUAUUCAGAGACAUAGAUUCAGUGUAGUAGGCAUCAGUGUGGCUACUUGGCUACUUACUGUGCAAAAGAUGUCAAUUUGUGAGUGCAAAUUCAUCUUAAGGAAAUUCUCUGAUUUAAUUUAAGCAUUGGUAGAGAGAUUUACUAUUAUCCUCCUUGGAAAUGAAAAGCAUAUAGCUCAGGGAAGGAAGAUCACAUUUUUAGGAGAACUAUCUGGGGGCAGAUUACCCAAAGUGUUAAUUAUUAUAAUUACUAUUGUUAAGUUGGUUUUAAAGUCCUAUAUGAUGUAAUAUCAUGUUCUCUUUUUGUUUCUCCAG